rnacentral:rRNA from 1 species
AAAGGAAGUUGACGGGGCCGCACAAGCAGUGGAGUAUGUGGUUAAUUCGAAGCAACGCGAAGAACCUUACCAGGCUUGACAUCCCUUGAAGCAGCUAGAGAUAGCUGUGUCCUUCGGGACAAGGAGACAGGUGGUGCAUGGUUGUCGUCAGCUCGUGUCGUGAGAUGUUGGGUUAAGUCCCGCAACGAGCGCAACCCCUGUGGUUAGUUGCCAGCAAGUAGCGUUGGGCACUCUAGCCAGACUGCCGGUGAUAAAUCGGAGGAAGGUGGGGACGACGUCAAAUCAUCAUGCCCUUUAUGUCCUGGGCUACACACGUACUACAAUGGCCGUUACAACGGGAAGCGAAGGAGCAAUCCGGAGCAAAUCCCUUAAAGGCGGUCCCAGUUCAGAUUGUGGGCUGAAACUCGCCCACAUGAAGGCGGAAUUGCUAGUAAUCGCAGGUCAGCAUACUGCGGUGAAUACGUUCCCGGGCCUU